AUUGAACGCUGGCGGCAGGCCUAACACAUGCAAGUCGAGCGGAUGACGGGAGCUUGCUCCUUGAUUCAGCGGCGGACGGGUGAGUAAUGCCUAGGAAUCUGCCUGGUAGUGGGGGACAACGUUUCGAAAGGAACGCUAAUACCGCAUACGUCCUACGGGAGAAAGCAGGGGACCUUCGGGCCUCGCGCUAUCAGAUGAGCCUAGGUCGGAUUAGCUAGUAGGUGAGGUAAUGGCUCACCUAGGCGACGAUCCGUAACUGGUCUGAGAGGAUGAUCAGUCACACUGGAACUGAGACACGGUCCAGACUCCUACGGGAGGCAGCAGUGGGGAAUAUUGGACAAUGGGCGAAAGCCUGAUCCAGCCAUGCCGCGUGUGUGAAGAAGGUCUUCGGAUUGUAGAGCACUUUAAGUUGGGAGGAAGGGCAGUAAGUUAAUACCUUGCUGUUUUGACGUUACCGACAGAAUAAGCACCGGCUAACUCUGUGCCAGCAGCCGCCGUAACAC
rnacentral:rRNA from 1 species